rnacentral:rRNA from 1 species
AAGUCGAGCGGAACGACUUAACUGAACCUUCGGGGGANGUUAAGGGCGUCGAGCGGCGGACGGGUGAGUAAUGCCUGGGAAUAUGCCCUGAUGUGGGGGAUAACUAUUGGAAACGAUAGCUAAUACCGCAUAAUCUCUUCGGAGCAAAGAGGGGGACCUUCGGGCCUCUCGCGUCAGGAUUAGCCCAGGUGGGAUUAGCUAGUUGGUGAGGUAAUGGCUCACCAAGGCGACGAUCCCUAGCUGGUUUGAGAGGAUGAUCAGCCACACUGGAACUGAGACACGGUCCAGACUCCUACGGGAGGCAGCAGUGGGGAAUAUUGCACAAUGGGGGAAACCCUGAUGCAGCCAUGCCGCGUGUGUGAAGAAGGCCUUCGGGUUGUAAAGCACUUUCAGUCGUGAGGAAGGCAUUGUAGUUAAUAGCUACAUUGUUUGACGUUAGCGACAGAAGAAGCACCGGCUAACUCCGUGCCAGCAGCCGCGGUAAUACGGAGGGUGCGAGCGUUAAUCGGAAUUACUGGGCGUAAAGCGCAUGCAGGCGGUUAGUUAAGCAAGAUGUGAAAGCCCGGGGCUUAACCUCGGAACAGCAUUUUGAACUGGCUAACUAGAGUCUUGUAGAGGGGGGUAGAAUUUCAGGUGUAGCGGUGAAAUGCGUAGAGAUCUGAAGGAAUACCGGUGGCGAAGGCGGCCCCCUGGACAAAGACUGACGCUCAGAUGCGAAAGCGUGGGGAGCAAACAGGAUUAGAUGCCCUGGUAGUCCACGCCGUAAACGAUGUCUACUUGGAGGUUGUGGCCUUGAGCCGUG